rnacentral:rRNA from 2 species
AGGGCGCACGGUGGAUGCCUUGACACUAGGAGUCGAUGAAGGACGGGACUAACGCCGAUAUGCUUCGGGGAGCUGUAAGUAAGCUUUGAUCCGAAGAUUUCCGAAUGGGGAAACCCACCAUACGUAAUGGUAUGGUAUCCUUAUCUGAAUACAUAGGGUAAGGAAGACAGACCCAGGGAACUGAAACAUCUAAGUACCUGGAGGAAGAGAAAGCAAAUGCGAUUUCCUGAGUAGCGGCGAGCGAAACGGAACAUAGCCCAAACCAAGAGGCUUGCCUCUUGGGGUUGUAGGACAUUCUAUACGGAGUUACAAAGGAACGAGGUAGACGAAGCGACCUGGAAAGGUCCGUCGUAGAGGGUAACAACCCCGUAGUCGAAACUUCGUUCUCUCUUGAAUGUAUCCUGAGUACGGCGGAACACGUGAAAUUCCGUCGGAAUCUGGGAGGACCAUCUCCCAAGGCUAAAUACUCCCUAGUGAUCGAUAGUGAACCAGUACCGUGAGGGAAAGGUGAAAAGCACCCCGGAAGGGGAGUGAAAGAGAUCCUGAAACCGUGUGCCUACAAAUAGUCAGAGCCCGUUAACGGGUGAUGGCGUGCCUUUUGUAGAAUGAACCGGCGAGUUACGAUCCCGUGCGAGGUUAAGCUGAAGAGGCGGAGCCGCAGCGAAAGCGAGUCUGAAUAGGGCGUUUAGUACGUGGUCGUAGACCCGAAACCAGGUGAUCUACCCAUGUCCAGGGUGAAGUUCAGGUAACACUGAAUGGAGGCCCGAACCCACGCACGUUGAAAAGUGCGGGGAUGAGGUGUGGGUAGCGGAGAAAUUCCAAUCGAACCUGGAGAUAGCUGGUUCUCCCCGAAAUAGCUUUAGGGCUAGCCUUAAGUGUAAGAGUCUUGGAGGUAGAGCACUGAUUGGACUAGGGGUCCUCAUCGGAUUACCGAAUUCAGUCAAACUCCGAAUGCCAAUGACUUAUCCUUAGGAGUCAGACUGCGAGUGAUAAGAUCCGUAGUCAAAAGGGAAACAGCCCAGACCGCCAGCUAAGGUCCCAAAGUGUGUAUUAAGUGGAAAAGGAUGUGGAGUUGCUUAGACAACUAGGAUGUUGGCUUAGAAGCAGCCACCAUUUAAAGAGUGCGUAAUAGCUCACUAGUCGAGUGACUCUGCGCCGAAAAUGUACCGGGGCUAAAUACACCACCGAAGCUGCGGAUUGAUACCAAUGGUAUCAGUGGUAGGGGAGCGUUCUAAGGACAGUGAAGUCAGACCGUAAGGACUGGUGGAGUGCUUAGAAGUGAGAAUGCCGGUAUGAGUAGCGAAAGACGGGUGAGAAUCCCGUCCACCGAAUGCCUAAGGUUUCCUGAGGAAGGCUCGUCCGCUCAGGGUUAGUCAGGACCUAAGCCGAGGCCGACAGGCGUAGGCGAUGGACAACAGGUUGAUAUUCCUGUACCACCUCUUUAUCGUUUGAGCAAUGGAGGGACGCAGAAGGAUAGAAGAAGCGUGCGAUUGGUUGUGCACGUCCAAGCAGUUAGGCUGAUAAGUAGGCAAAUCCGCUUAUCGUGAAGGCUGAGCUGUGAUGGGGAAGCUCCUUAUGGAGCGAAGUCUUUGAUUCCCCGCUGCCAAGAAAAGCUUCUAGCGAGAUAAAAGGUGCCUGUACCGCAAACCGACACAGGUAGGCGAGGAGAGAAUCCUAAGGUGUGCGAGAGAACUCUGGUUAAGGAACUCGGCAAAAUGACCCCGUAACUUCGGGAGAAGGGGUGCUUUCUUAACGGAAAGCCGCAGUGAAUAGGCCCAAGCGACUGUUUAGCAAAAACACAGCUCUCUGCGAAGCCGUAAGGCGAAGUAUAGGGGGUGACACCUGCCCGGUGCUGGAAGGUUAAGGAGAGGGGUUAGCGUAAGCGAAGCUCUGAACUGAAGCCCCAGUAAACGGCGGCCGUAACUAUAACGGUCCUAAGGUAGCGAAAUUCCUUGUCGGGUAAGUUCCGACCCGCACGAAAGGUGUAACGAUUUGGGCACUGUCUCAACCAGAGACUCGGUGAAAUUAUAGUACCUGUGAAGAUGCAGGUUACCCGCGACAGGACGGAAAGACCCCGUGGAGCUUUACUGUAGCCUGAUAUUGAAUUUUGGUACAGUUUGUACAGGAUAGGCGGGAGCCAUUGAAACCGGAGCGCUAGCUUCGGUGGAGGCGCUGGUGGGAUACCGCCCUGACUGUAUUGAAAUUCUAACCUACGGGUCUUAUCGACCCGGGAGACAGUGUCAGGUGGGCAGUUUGACUGGGGCGGUCGCCUCCUAAAGUGUAACGGAGGCGCCCAAAGGUUCCCUCAGAAUGGUUGGAAAUCAUUCGUAGAGUGCAAAGGCAUAAGGGAGCUUGACUGCGAGACCUACAAGUCGAGCAGGGACGAAAGUCGGGCUUAGUGAUCCGGUGGUUCCGCAUGGAAGGGCCAUCGCUCAACGGAUAAAAGCUACCCCGGGGAUAACAGGCUUAUCUCCCCCAAGAGUCCACAUCGACGGGGAGGUUUGGCACCUCGAUGUCGGCUCAUCGCAUCCUGGGGCUGUAGUCGGUCCCAAGGGUUGGGCUGUUCGCCCAUUAAAGCGGUACGCGAGCUGGGUUCAGAACGUCGUGAGACAGUUCGGUCCCUAUCCGUCGUGGGCGUAGGAAAUUUGAGAGGAGCUGUCCUUAGUACGAGAGGACCGGGAUGGACGCACCGCUGGUGUACCAGUUGUUCUGCCAAGGGCAUAGCUGGGUAGCUAUGUGCGGAAGGGAUAAGUGCUGAAAGCAUCUAAGCAUGAAGCCCCCCUCAAGAUGAGAUUUCCCAUAGCGUAAGCUAGU